AUGGAACUAACCAAGAAUUAUGUGAAGUAUGAAGAUCUUACCCUAGCUAAUGAAAGGAUAAAAUUUUCCAUUUCAUCUGAGGAAAUGAAGUUCCUGAACCUGAAAUUUGGAACAUCUAACCUGGAUAAGAAGGGAUACGAUGAGCUACUUGCACUUGCUGUCAGCUUUCAUGACUACCAAGGUCUUGAUCCAGAUGAUCUAUUGUGGGCUAAAAUAACAGGUUCGAGAUACAAAAUCUGGAGCCUUGCUCUGAAGGUCCAAGGAGGAGGAAGCAUCAACAAUGCUCUCAACAGAGCUGCUCAAUUGGAUUUAAAUCCAAGGAUGACAUCCAAGAAAAGGUACCCCAACUUCCUUUAUUGCUUUAACCAUACUAGAGUGGCUGUAUAUGGUGCACUUGGCAGGGAUAUUCUCAAGGAAUUCCAAUACGAUGGCCGCAUUUUUCACUGA
rnacentral:rRNA from 1 species